rnacentral:rRNA from 1 species
AGCGGCGGACGGGUGAGUAAUGCUUAGGAAUCUGCCUAUUAGUGGGGGACAACAUUCCGAAAGGGAUGCUAAUACCGCAUACGUCCUACGGGAGAAAGCAGGGGAUCACUUGUGACCUUGCGCUAAUAGAUGAGCCUAAGUCGGAUUAGCUAGUUGGUGGGGUAAAGGCCUACCAAGGCGACGAUCUGUAGCGGGUCUGAGAGGAUGAUCCGCCACACUGGGACUGAGACACGGCCCAGACUCCUACGGGAGGCAGCAGUGGGGAAUAUUGGACAAUGGGGGGAACCCUGAUCCAGCCAUGCCGCGUGUGUGAAGAAGGCCUUUUGGUUGUAAAGCACUUUAAGCGAGGAGGAGGCUUACCUGGUUAAUACCUGGGAUAAGUGGACGUUACUCGCAGAAUAAGCACCGGCUAACUCUGUGCCAGCAGCCGCGGUAAUACAGAGGGUGCGAGCGUUAAUCGGAUUUACUGGGCGUAAAGCGCGCGUAGGUGGUUAAUUAAGUCAAAUGUGAAAUCCCCGAGCUUAACUUGGGAAUUGCAUUCGAUACUGGUUAGCUAGAGUAUGGGAGAGGAUGGUAGAAUUCCAGGUGUAGCGGUGAAAUGCGUAGAGAUCUGGAGGAAUACCGAUGGCGAAGGCAGCCAUCUGGCCUAAUACUGACACUGAGGUGCGAAAGCAUGGGGAGCAAACAGGAUUAGAUACCCUGGUAGUCCAUGCCGUAAACGAUGUCUACUAGCCGUUGGGGGAUUUGAUCCUUUAGUGGCGCAGCUAACGCGAUAAGUAGACCGCCUGGGGAGUACGGUCGCAAGACUAAAACUCAAAUGAAUUGACGGGGGCCCGCACAAGCGGUGGAGCAUGUGGUUUAAUUCGAUGCAACGCGAAGAACCUUACCUGGCCUUGACAUAGUAGAGACUUUCCAGAGAUGGAUUGGUGCCUUCGGGAAUCUACAUACAGGUGCUGCAUGGCUGUCGUCAGCUCGUGUCGUGAGAUGUUGGGUUAAGUCCCGCAACGAGCGCAACCCUUUUCCUUACUUGCCAGCAUUUCGGAUGGGAACUUUAAGGAUACUGCCAGUGACAAACUGGAGGAAGGCGGGGACGACGUCAAGUCAUCAUGGCCCUUACGGCCAGGGCUACACACGUGCUACAAUGGUCGGUACAAAGGGUUGCUACACAGCGAUGUGAUGCUAAUCUCAAAAAGCCGAUCGUAGUCCGGAUCGCAGUCUGCAACUCGACUGCGUGAAG